rnacentral:rRNA from 1 species
AGCAAGGUUAAGCACUUAAGGUGUGGAGCCGUAGCGAAAGCGAGUUUUAACUGAGCGUUCAGUUACUUGACGUAGACCCGAAACCGGGCGACCUACCCAUGAGCAGGAUGAAGCGAAAGUAAAAUGUCGUGGAGGUCCGAACCCACGAGCGUUGAAAAGCUCGGGGAUGACUUGUGGGUAGCGGUGAAAUUCCAAUCGAGCCCGGAGAUAGCUGGUUCUCCCCGAAAUAGCUUUAGGGCUAGCCUCAAGGUGA